CGCACAUUGCGCCCCUUGGUAUUCCAUGGGGCAUGCCUGUUCGAGCGUCAUUUGUACCUUCAAGCUCUGCUUGGUGAUGGGUGUUUGUCCUGUUCUUUUGUGACGGGACUCGCCUCAAAAUUAUUGGCAGCCGGCAUAUUGGCCUUUGGAGCGCAGCACAUUUUGCGAUCUAAGCCUGUAUGUUGGUAUCCAUGAAGCUCAAUUAUCACUUUUGACCUCGGAUCAGGUAGGGAUACCCGCUGAACUUAA
rnacentral:misc_RNA from 1 species